UACGUAGGCAGCAAGCGUUGUUCGGAGUUACUGGGCGUAAAGGGUGUGUAGGCGGUUCUUUAAGUUUGGUGUGAAAUCUCCCGGCUCAACUGGGGAGGGUCACGCGAUACUGAUCGACUCGAAGGCAGGAGAGGGUAGUGGAAUUCCCGGUGUAGUGGUGAAAUGCGUAGAUAUCGGGAGGAACACCAGUGGCGAAGGCGACUACCUGGCCUGUUCUUGGCGCUGAGGCGCGAAAGCUAGGGGAGCAAACGGG
rnacentral:rRNA from 1 species